rnacentral:rRNA from 1 species
AUUGCCCUAGUAACGGCGAGUGAAGCGGCAACAGCUCAAAUUUGAAAUCUGGCCCUCUGGGCCCGAGUUGUAAUUUGUAGAGGGCGCUUUGGUGUUGGCCCCGGCCUAAGUUCCUUGGAACAGGACGUCACAGAGGGUGAGAACCCCGUACGUGGCCGGCGGCCUUCGCUGUGUAAAGCCCCUUCGACGAGUCGAGUUGUUUGGGAAUGCAGCUCUAAAUGGGAGGUAAAUUUCUUCUAAAGCUAAAUACUGGCCAGAGACCGAUAGCGCACAAGUAGAGUGAUCGAAAGAUGAAAAGCACUUUGGAAAGAGAGUCAAAAAGCACGUGAAAUUGUUGAAAGGGAAGCGCUUGCAGCCAGACUUGCCUGUAGUUGCUCACCUGGGCUCUUGCCCAGCGCACUCUUCUGCGGGCAGGCCAGCAUCAGUUCAAGCGGUCGGACAAAAGCCCUAGGAAUGUGGCUCCUUCCGGGGAGUGUUAUAGCCUAGGGCAUAAUGCGGCCAGCUUGGACUGAGGUCCGCGCAUUUGCUAGGAUGCUGGCGUAAUGGUUGUAAGCGGCCCGUCUUGAAACACGGACCAAGGAGUCUAACAUCUAUGCGAGUGUUUGGGUGUCAAGCCCGAGCGCGAAAUGAAAGUGAACGGAGGUGGGAACCCCCCGGGGCGCACCAUCGACCGAUCCUGAUGUCUUCGGAUGGAUUUGAGUAAGAGCAUAGCUGUUGGGACCCGAAAGAUGGUGAACUAUGCCUGAAUAGGGUGAAGCCAGAGGAAACUCUGGUGGAGGCUCGCAGCGGUUCUGACGUGCAAAUCGAUCGUCAAAUUUGGGCAUAGGGGCGAAAGACUAAUCGAACUAUCUAGUAGCUGGUUCCUGCCGA